CAGAAGUCGCCAAACGGGCACCACGGCCCGCAAGGCUUCAGUUCCUGCACACCAGCGCAGAGUGAAUACCCGCCUUCGUCUUUAUUGAACCUCCUUCAUUCCACCACUUCUGUCUACCGCACUGGUUCGUUUACUCACCACUCCACACGUAACUCUUCCUCUGACCACAGCUCGUCAAUUCCCAAGUUAGCAUCAUGCAGCCACUGACCCUCCUGCUGGUGGUGGCCGUGGCCCUCUCAGCGGUGGUGGUGGUGGUGCAAGCCAUGCCCUACCACCAUUACUACUUCCCGCCCUACCACCCCCAGCACCCGUACCACCACCCCCAGCACCCGUACCACCACCCCCAGCAACCGUACCACCACCCUCACCAGCACUUCUCUCCGGCCUACUUCGACGUACUAUAUCCCUUUUAUACGUCUUGGAGGCGCUGAAAAAAAAUAACAGACACGGAAAGAGUAAGUCUGUAACAUCUUCAGUAAUCCUAACUCCAAACCAGGGCAGCACCACUCCACCACUAGUGCCACCAUUACCACCUCCGCCACUGCUCUCGGGUCGCGCGUCUCGACUACAAAGAAGUCAUAUGUUAUUUAUAAUGUUAAUUAGUGUAUGUUAAAAAAAAAAAAGACUUUUCACCAAAUAAACAAUAAGCUAUCA